rnacentral:rRNA from 1 species
GAUGAACGCUGGCGGCGUGCCUAAUACAUGCAAGUCGAGCGAACGGACGAGAAGCUUGCUUCUCUGAUGUUAGCGGCGGACGGGUGAGUAACACGUGGAUAACCUACCUAUAAGACUGGGAUAACUUCGGGAAACCGGAGCUAAUACCGGAUAAUAUUUUGAACCGCAUGGUUCAAAAGUGAAAGACGGUCUUGCUGUCACUUAUAGAUGGAUCCGCGCUGCAUUAGCUAGUUGGUAAGGUAACGGCUUACCAAGGCAACGAUGCAUAGCCGACCUGAGAGGGUGAUCGGCCACACUGGAACUGAGACACGGUCCAGACUCCUACGGGAGGCAGCAGUAGGGAAUCUUCCGCAAUGGGCGAAAGCCUGACGGAGCAACGCCGCGUGAGUGAUGAAGGUCUUCGGAUCGUAAAACUCUGUUAUUAGGGAAGAACAUAUGUGUAAGUAACUGUGCACAUCUUGACGGUACCUAAUCAGAAAGCCACGGCUAACUACGUGCCAGCAGCCGCGGUAAUACGUAGGUGGCAAGCGUUAUCCGGAAUUAUUGGGCGUAAAGCGCGCGUAGGCGGUUUUUUAAGUCUGAUGUGAAAGCCCACGGCUCAACCGUGGAGGGUCAUUGGAAACUGGAAAACUUGAGUGCAGAAGAGGAAAGUGGAAUUCCAUGUGUAGCGGUGAAAUGCGCAGAGAUAUGGAGGAACACCAGUGGCGAAGGCGACUUUCUGGUCUGUAACUGACGCUGAUGUGCGAAAGCGUGGGGAUCAAACAGGAUUAGAUACCCUGGUAGUCCACGCCGUAAACGAUGAGUGCUAAGUGUUAGGGGGUUUCCGCCCCUUAGUGCUGCAGCUAACGCAUUAAGCACUCCGCCUGGGGAGUACGACCGCAAGGUUGAAACUCAAAGGAAUUGACGGGGACCCGCACAAGCGGUGGAGCAUGUGGUUUAAUUCAAAGCAACGCGAAGAACCUUACCAAAUCUUGACAUCCUUUGACAACUCUAGAGAUAGAGCCUUCCCCUUCGGGGGACAAAGUGACAGGUGGUGCAUGGUUGUCGUCAGCUCGUGUCGUGAGAUGUUGGGUUAAGUCCCGCAACGAGCGCAACCCUUAAGCUUAGUUGCCAUCAUUAAGUUGGGCACUCUAAGUUGACUGCCGGUGACAAACCGGAGGAAGGUGGGGAUGACGUCAAAUCAUCAUGCCCCUUAUGAUUUGGGCUACACACGUGCUACAAUGGACAAUACAAAGGGCAGCGAAACCGCGAGGUCAAGCAAAUCCCAUAAAGUUGUUCUCAGUUCGGAUUGUAGUCUGCAACUCGACUACAUGAAGCUGGAAUCGCUAGUAAUCGUAGAUCAGCAUGCUACGGUGAAUACGUUCCCGGGUCU